UACGAAGGGGGCUAGCGUUGUUCGGAAUCACUGGGCGUAAAGGGCGCGUAGGCGGCUUUAUAAGUCGGGGGUGAAAGCCUGUGGCUCAACCACAGAAUUGCCUUCGAUACUGUAGAGCUUGAGACCGGAAGAGGUAAGUGGAACUGCGAGUGUAGAGGUGAAAUUCGUAGAUAUUCGCAAGAACACCAGUGGCGAAGGCAGCUCGCUGGGACGUUACUGACACUGAGGCGCGAAAGCGUGGGGGAGCGAACAGG
rnacentral:rRNA from 1 species